GGGGAAUAUUGCGCAAUGGGGGAAACCCUGACGCAGCAACGCCGCGUGGGUGAAGAAGGCCUUCGGGUCGUAAAGCCCUGUCAGCAGGAACGAAAUGGCAGGCGGUUAAUACCCGCCGGCCUUGACGGUACCUGCGGAGGAAGCACCGGCUAACUCCGUGCCAGCAGCCGCGGUAAUACGGAGGGUGCAAGCGUUGUUCGGAUUUACUGGGCGUAAAGCGCGUGUAGGCGGACCGUUAAGUCAGGUGUGAAAUCCCUGGGCUCAACCCGGGAACUGCACUUGAAACUGGCGGCCUUGAGUACGGGAGAGGGAAGCGGAAUUCCGAAUGUAGAGGUGAAAUUCGUAGAUAUUCGGAGGAACACCGGUGGCGAAGGCGGCUUCCUGGACCGAUACUGACGCUGAGACGCGAAAGCGUGGGUAGCAAAC
rnacentral:rRNA from 1 species